UCCGUGUUAACCACGGCAGUCUCCUUAGAGAGCCCAACUUAAUGCUGGCAACUAAGGACAAGGGUUGCGCUCGUUGCGGGACUUAACCCAACAUGUCACCACACGAGCUGACGACAGCCAUGCAGCGCCUGUCUCUUUGUCGUAUUGCUACGAAAGCCGUAUCUCUACGGAUGUCAAAGGAUGUCAAAUCCAGGUAAGGUUCUUCGCGUUGCUUCGAAUUAAACCACACGCUCCGCUGCUUGUGUGGGCCCCCGUCAAUUCCUUUGAGUUUUAGCCUUGCGGCCGUAGUCCCCAGGCGGCGGACUUAGUGCGUUAGCUGCGGCGCCGAGGGGGUCGAUACCCCCGACACCUAGUCCGCAUCGUUUACGGCGUGGACUAC
rnacentral:misc_RNA from 1 species